CCUACGGGAGGCUGCAGUGGGGGAUAUUGCACACUGGGGGAAACCCUGAUGCAGCGAUGCAGCGUGAAUGAAGACGGCCUUCGGGUUGUAAAGUUCUGUCGCAGGGGACGAAAAUGACGGUACACUGAAAGAAAGCUCCGGCUAACUACGUGCCAGCAGCCGCGGUAAUACGUAGGGAGCAAGCGGUGUCCGGAAUUACUGGGUGUAAAGGGAGCGUAGGCGGGAGGAUAAGUUGAAUGUGAAAUCUAUGGGCUCAACCCAUAGCUGCGUUCAAAACUGUUCUUCUUUAGUGAAGUAGAGGCAGGCGGGAUUCCGAGUGUAGCGGUGAAAUGCGUAGAUAUUAGGAGGAACACCAGUGGCGGAGGCGACCUGAUGAGCUUUUACUGACGCUGAAGCUCGAAAGCGUGGGUAGCAAACAGGAUUAGAUACCCCAGUAGUC
rnacentral:rRNA from 1 species